CUCUCCUGUGGUGUUGAAAGAAGCA
rnacentral:piRNA from 1 species